ACGCUGGCGGCGUGCCUAAUACAUGCAAGUAGAACGCUGAAGGAGGAGCUUGCUUCUCUGGAUGAGUUGCGAACAGGUGAGUAACGCGUAGGUAACCUGCCUGGUAGCGGGGGAUAACUAUUGGAAACGAUAGCUAAUACCGCAUAAUAGCAGUUAUUGCAUGAUAACUGUUUGAAAGGUGCAAUUGCAUCACUACCAGAUGGACCUGCGUUGUAUUAGCUAGUUGGUGGGGUAACGGCUCACCAAGGCGACGAUACAUAGCCGACCUGAGAGGGUGAUCGGCCACACUGGGACUGAGACACGGCCUAGACUCCUACGGGAGGCAGCAGUAGGGAAUCUUCGGCAAUGGACGGAAGUCUGACCGAGCAACGCCGCGUGAGUGAAGAAGGUUUUCGGAUCGUAAAGCUCUGUUGUAAGAGAAGAACGAGUGUGAGAGUGGAAAGUUCACACUGUGACGGUAUCUUACCAGAAAGGGACGGCUAACUACGUGCCAGCAGCCGCGGUAAUACGUAGGUCCCGAGCGUUGUCCGGAUUUAUUGGGCGUAAAGCGAGCGCAGGCGGUUAGAUAAGUCUGAAGUUAAAGGCUGUGGCUUAACCAUAGUACGCUUUGGAAACUGUUUAACUUGAGUGCAAGAGGGGAGAGUGGAAUUCCAUGUGUAGCGGUGAAAUGCGUAGAUAUAUGGAGGAACACCGGUGGCGAAAGCGGCUCUCUGGCUUGUAACUGACGCUGAGGCUCGAAAGCGUGGGGAGCAAACAGGAUUAGAUACCCUGGUAGUCCACGCCGUAAACGAUGAGUGCUAGGUGUUAGACCCUUUCCGGGGUUUAGUGCCGCAGCUAACGCAUUAAGCACUCCGCCUGGGGAGUACGACCGCAAGGUUGAAACUCAAAGGAAUUGACGGGGGCCCCGC
rnacentral:rRNA from 1 species